rnacentral:rRNA from 1 species
GAUGAACGCUGGCGGCGUGCUUAACACAUGCAAGUCGAACGGGAAACCUUUUAUUGAAGCUUCGGCAGAUUUAGCUGGUUUCUAGUGGCGGACGGGUGAGUAACGCGUGGGUAACCUGCCCUAUACAGGGGGAUAACAACCAGAAAUGGUUGCUAAUACCGCAUAAGCGCACAGGGCCGCAUGGUCCGGUGUGAAAAACUCCGGUGGUAUAGGAUGGACCCGCGUUGGAUUAGCCAGUUGGCAGGGUAACGGCCUACCAAAGCGACGAUCCAUAGCCGGCCUGAGAGGGUGAACGGCCACAUUGGGACUGAGACACGGCCCAGACUCCUACGGGAGGCAGCAGUGGGGAAUAUUGCACAGUGGGGGAAACCCUGAUGCAGCGACGCCGCGUGAAGGAAGAAGUAUCUCGGUAUGUAAACUUCUAUCAGCAGGGAAGAUAGUGACGGUACCUGACUAAGAAGCCCCGGCUAACUACGUG